rnacentral:rRNA from 1 species
AUUGAACGCUGGCGGCAGGCCUAACACAUGCAAGUCGAGCGGAUGAGGGGAGCUUGCUUCCUGGUUCAGCGGCGGACGGGUGAGUAAUGCCUAGGAAUCUGCCUGGUAGUGGGGGACAACGUUUCGGAAGGAACGCUAAUACCGCAUACGUCCUACGGGAGAAAGUGGGGGAUCUUCGGACCUCACGCUAUCAGAUGAGCCUAGGUCGGAUUAGCUAGUUGGUGAAGUAAAGGCUCACCAAGGCGACGAUCCGUAACUGGUCUGAGAGGAUGAUCAGUCACACUGGAACUGAGACACGGUCCAGACUCCUACGGGAGGCAGCAGUGGGGAAUAUUGGACAAUGGGCGAAAGCCUGAUCCAGCCAUGCCGCGUGUGUGAAGAAGGUCUUCGGAUUGUGAAGCACUUUAAGUUGGGAGGAAGGGCUGUAGGCUAAUAUCCUGCAGUUUUGACGUUACCGACAGAAUAAGCACCGGCUAACUUCGUGCCAGCCGCCGCGGUAA